GAUGAAGAACGUAGCGAAAUGCGAUAAGUAAUGUGAAUUGCAGAAUUCAGUGAAUCAUCGAAUCUUUGAACGCACCUUGCGCCCUUUGGCUAUUCCGAAGGGCAUGCCUGUUUGAGUAUCAUGAACACCUCAACUCUUCACGGCUUGCCGUGAUGAGUUUGGACUUUGGGGGUCUUGCUGGCCUACGAGCCAGCUCCUCUCAAAUGUAUUAGCUUGCCGGUGUUUGGUGGCAUCACAGGUGUGAUAACUAUCUACGCUUGUGGUUUUCCACUAGGUAACCUUCAGCAAUGGAGGUUCACCGGAGCUCAAAUGUCUCUCCUUGCCAAGGACAGAUUUUGACCAUUUGAUCUCAAAUCAGGUAGGACUACCCGCUGAACUUAAGCAUAUCAAUAAGCGGAGGA
rnacentral:misc_RNA from 1 species